rnacentral:rRNA from 1 species
CUUGCUAAACAUAAGAGGUCCAGCCUGCCCAGUGACUCAGUUUAACGGCCGCGGUAUCCUAACCGUGCGAAGGUAGCAUAAUCACUUGUUCUCUAAAUAAGGACUAGUAUCAACGGCAUCACGAGGGCUACACUGUCUCCUUUCUCCAAUCAGUGAAACUGAUCUCCCCGUGAAGAAGCGGGAAUAAAAAUAUAAGACGAGAAGACCCCAUGGAGCUUCAAGCACCGUAUUCAUCUACUUUUUUCCACAGCAACUUAACUUUAAACCUGAAUACUAGCUUUUGGCUGGGGGGGCCGCGGAGUACAACCUAACCUCCGCAACAAAUGGGCUACGCCUUUAUCUAUGAAUUACCACUCUAAGAAUUAACAAAUUAAUGUACUUUGACCCGACUAAUCGAUCAACGAACCA